rnacentral:rRNA from 1 species
CCUACGGGAGGCAGCAGUAGGGAAUAUUGCUCAAUGGGGGAAACCCUGAAGCAGCCACGCCGCGUGGAGGAUGAAGGUUCUCGGAGUGUAAAACCGUUUUGUUAGAGAAGAUAAUGACGGUAUCUGACGAAUAAGCACCGGCUAACUCCGUGCCAGCAGCCGCGGUAAUACGGAGGGUGCAAGCGUUACUCGGAAUCACUGGGCGUAAAGAGCGCGUAGGCGGGAUUGCAAGUGAGAUGUGAAAUCCUAUGGCUUAACCAUAGAACUGCAUUUGAAACUGUGGUUCUUGAGUGUAGGAGAGGUAGGUGGAAUUCUUGGUGUAGGGGUGAAAUGCGUAGAGAUCAAGAAGAAUACUGAUGGCGAAGGCGACCUGCUGGAAUAUAACUGACGCUGAUGCGCGAAAGCGUGGGGAGCAAACAGGAUUAGAUACCCGGGUAGUC